rnacentral:rRNA from 1 species
GGGAUAACACUUGGAAACAGGUGCUAAUACCGUAUAACACUAUUUUCCGCAUGGAAGAAAGUUGAAAGGCGCUUUUGCGCCACUGAUGGAUGGACCCGCGGUGCAUUAGCUAGUUGGUGAGGUAACGGCUCACCAAGGCCACGAUGCAUAGCCGACCUGAGAGGGUGAUCGGCCACACUGGGACUGAGACACGGCCCAGACUCCUACGGGAGGCAGCAGUAGGGAAUCUUCGGCAAUGGACGAAAGUCUGACCGAGCAACGCCGCGUGAGUGAAGAAGGUUUUCGGAUCGUAAAACUCUGUUGUUAGAGAAGAACAAGGAUGAGAGUAAAACGUUCAUCCCUUGACGGUAUCUAACCAGAAAGCCACGGCUAACUACGUGCCAGCAGCCGCGGUAAUACGUAGGUGGCAAGCGUUGUCCGGAUUUAUUGGGCGUAAAGCGAGCGCAGGCGGUUUCUUAAGUCUGAUGUGAAAGCCCCCGGCUCAACCGGGGAGGGUCAUUGGAAACUGGGAGACUUGAGUGCAGAAGAGGAGAGUGGAAUUCCAUGUGUAGCGGUGAAAUGCGUAGAUAUAUGGAGGAACACCAGUGGCGAAGGCGGCUCUCUGGUCUGUAACUGACGCUGAGGCUCGAAAGCGUGGGGAGCGAACAGGAUUAGAUACCCU